UACGAAGGGGGCUAGCGUUGUUCGCAAUUACUGGGCGUAAAGCGUAUGCAGGCGGAUCUUUAAGUCAGGGGUGAAAUCCUGAGGCUCAACCUCAGAACUGCCUUUGAUACUGGAGAUCUUGAGUCCGGGAGAGGUUAGUGGAACUGCGAGUGUAGAGGUGAAAUUCGUAGAUAUUCGCAAGAACACCAGUGGCGAAGGCGGCUAACUGGCCCGGUACUGACGCUGAGAUACGAAAGCGUGGGGAGCAAACAGG
rnacentral:rRNA from 1 species